AUGAAUUUGCAGAAGAAUCAAGGUUGAAUUAUGGUGUAUUAAGAAGUUUAAGAAUUAAGAAAUUUGCAGAUUGAGGUAUCAUGGUGGAAAAAGUUGACAGACUUGGAAAUAUCAUGUAUUACCUAUGGCCGUAUAUCUUAAGUGCAGGAUUUUGUCUUCCAGAAGAAGGAAAUUAUGGGUUUUAGGAGAGUAGUAGGAAGAACUCAGUUAACGGUUGG